GGGCGCGUGGUGGAGUGGUUACCACGUCCGCUUUGCAAGCGGUAGGUCGCGGGUUCAAAUCCCGUCGUGUCCA
rnacentral:tRNA from 1 species